UACGUAGGGGGCAAGCGUUGUCCGGAAUUAUUGGGCGUAAAGCGCGCGCAGGCGGCUGUUUAAGUCUUGUGUUUAAUGCCGGAGCUUAACUCCGGUCCGCAUGGGAAACUGGACAGCUUGAGUGCAGAAGAGGAGAGUGGAAUUCCACGUGUAGCGGUGAAAUGCGUAGAUAUCGGGAGGAACACCAGUGGCGAAGGCGACUACCUGGACGACAACUGACGCUGAGGCACGAAAGCUAGGGGAGCAAACAGG
rnacentral:rRNA from 1 species